rnacentral:lncRNA from 1 species
ACACGGCAGCAGCUUGCAAGCGAAGUCUCCAAAGGAAAUCAAGCUACGGAGCAGUACUAGUACUAGCUAAGGAAAGAAAAUCACUUCGGGAAGUCCCGCGAAUCAAUCUCAGUUGGCCUACUCACGGCCAGCCUCGAAUUUCCAUCACAUCCAUGACGGCAGCUGUUUUGAUCAAGAUUUGAUGGCCACGUGAUGGAUUAACAAAAGGAAAGAGGCAAAUAAAAGAGGAAAG